ACUCGAGUGGCGAACGGGUGAGUAACACGUGGGUGAUCUGCCUUGCACUUCGGGAUAAGCCUGGGAAACUGGGUCUAAUACCGGAUAGGACCAUGCUUUAGUGUGUGUGGUGGAAAGUUUUCGGUGCAAGAUGAGCCCGCGGCCUAUCAGCUUGUUGGUGGGGUAAUGGCCUACCAAGGCGACGACGGGUAGCCGGCCUGAGAGGGUGUACGGCCACAUUGGGACUGAGACACGGCCCAG
rnacentral:rRNA from 1 species